rnacentral:rRNA from 1 species
UCCUACGGGAGGCAGCAGUGGGGAAUUUUGGACAAUGGGCGCAAGCCUGAUCCAGCCAUGCCGCGUGCAGGAUGAAGGCCUUCGGGUUGUAAACUGCUUUUGUACGGAACGAAAAGGUUUUCUCUAAUACAGGGGGCUAAUGACGGUACCGUAAGAAUAAGCACCGGCUAACUACGUGCCAGCAGCCGCGGUAAUACGUAGGGUGCGAGCGUUAAUCGGAAUUACUGGGCGUAAAGCGUGCGCAGGCGGUUAUGUAAGACAGAUGUGAAAUCCCCGGGCUCAACCUGGGAACUGCAUUUGUGACUGCAUAGCUAGAGUGCGGCAGAGGGGGAUGGAAUUCCGCGUGUAGCAGUGAAAUGCGUAGAUAUGCGGAGGAACACCGAUGGCGAAGGCAAUCCCCUGGGCCUGCACUGACGCUCAUGCACGAAAGCGUGGGGAGCAAACAGGAUUAGAUACCCUGGUAGUCCACGCCCUAAACGAUGUCAACUGGUUGUUGGGUCUUCACUGACUCAGUAACGAAGCUAACGCGUGAAGUGACCGCCU